GGGUACACCCUGGUCUGUUAGCCAGUCAACUAGCCACAGUCACACCUGUGGGGCAAUUUUAUUGUCUCCAAAUAACCGUAUGAGAACUUGCGAACUCCACACAGAUAGUCCCUGUCUGACAGGGAUUCAAACCAGGAACCUCCUCGUGACUGAAGGCAACAGCGCUAACCACUGCAGCACCGUGCAUCAAGAAUAAUGAGACCUAAAAAGACCUCAGCACAGUGCGACACCUCUUUAGAUCGAGUGAUAUGGCUUCCUCCAGCAUGAUGAAGGACCUGUGUGACUGCUGCCGUCUCUGACACUGGAAGAAAAAGUCUCCAAUAUAUUCUAGUGUUGUGUUAAAUGAUGAAUGACCAGAAGAAGAGCAGAGAGGCGGACUGCAGUGAUGACCUCCCGACAAAUCCUGCAGCUGCUCCUUGACAAUAAAUACUAAAACAAAUCCCGAACCAGAAAAUAGACACAUCUUCUAAUUCACGACUGGUAGUGCUGCUCUACAUCCAUUAAUGAACAAAUGGACGACAAGGAGUUGGCAGAAGUUUCAUUUCAGUGUUCACUCAGUCACUAAUUCUGUCAAUGAAAGAAAUCUAACAUGGGUCAACCAAUUAAAUCAUCCAAUAAUG